rnacentral:lncRNA from 1 species
UGCAUCUGCAUUCUGUUCCCAGAGAGGGAAGAGAAUAUCACACAUCUUUUGUCCGAGGUUUAACAGAAGUAAAGUCCUAAGCAAGCCAUGGGUAUUUUCAUAUCUGUAUUCUCGGAGACCAUCUGUAUUUAGAAAUAACCACUGCAUCUAACCAAUAAGUUUAAUAAGAAUGCUCAGCACCUGGAUUGGAAGUCCCCCCAAAGGCAGAAUUUGUCCUUGCUUGUCAUAUCAGGCUCAAAGCAGCAUGGAUUCCAGACACAAUGUCAGCUCUAGGUCUUUAUAACAGAAGUGCUAAGAACCAUGUAGAAACACUGCCCCCCGAGAAUCUGAGUUUGUCUUCUCUGGCUUGUUUGGAGGGUCAGCAUCCAUCCAAAAGUAUUGUUCCUUCCUCUGUCUCUGUCACCACAAAUUUUGUUUUUUCUAACAUUUUAUUAUAAAAUGUCUUAAAUACACAAGAACACAGGAGGAGUGAGGAGAUUUCACCCUGAACAUUAAUAUCUUACUUUCCUGGUUUCUAACAUAUCUAUCACCUAUCCAUCUUUCUAUGGAAUCUUGGGGUGGGGUGCAUGUCCCUGUGCAUGUUUCAAAGUAAAUUAUAAACCCAAUUCUAUCAUCCUCAUACCCUCACAUUUAACUCUUUUUCCUCUUGCCACAGUUUUCUUUAAACAAGGUCAUUCCUCUCCAGAAAUAAUUUUGAAAUGAA